UGGGGAAUAUUGCACAAUGGGCGCAAGCCUGAUGCAGCCAUGCCGCGUGUGUGAAGAAGGCCUUCGGGUUGUAAAGCACUUUCAGCGAGGAGGAAGGUGGUGAGCUUAAUACGCUCAUCAAUUGACGUUACUCGCAGAAGAAGCACCGGCUAACUCCGUGCCAGCAGCCGCGGUAAUACGGAGGGUGCAAGCGUUAAUCGGAAUUACUGGGCGUAAAGCGCACGCAGGCGGUUUGUUAAGUCAGAUGUGAAAUCCCCGGGCUCAACCUGGGAACUGCAUUUGAAACUGGCAAGCUAGAGUCUCGUAGAGGGGGGUAGAAUUCCAGGUGUAGCGGUGAAAUGCGUAGAGAUCUGGAGGAAUACCGGUGGCGAAAGGCGGCCCCCUGGACGAAGACUGACGCUCAGGUGCGAAAAGCGUGGGGAGCAAAACAGGAUUAGAUACCCUGGUAGUCCACGCUGUAAAACGAUGUCGAUUUUGGAGGUUGUGCCCUUGAGGCGUGGCUUCCGGAGCUAACGCGUUAAAUCGACCGCCUGGGGAGUACGGCCGCAAGGUUAAAACUC
rnacentral:rRNA from 1 species